rnacentral:sRNA from 1 species
UGCCAGUGCUGCGAUCCCACAUGAAGGACACACACAACCCAAAUCUCCCGCCCACCAACACUUCCUUCAUUCUCUAUUUUCCAUUAUUAUACAACAACGCUCUCGAUAACUGGACACAAACCCGCCUUCCAUUUGAGAAAAAAAAAUUAAAAAAAAAAAAAAAAGGCCUGAAGUUACGUUCAAGCAAGUAUCAAUCCUUGCCUGAAAUUGCAUGAGCCACGCGCUUGGGUAGAGGCCAAGGGUAGGCUCACAAAUUAUCAGAUCAUAGCUCGUAACUCGCCACUCAAAGGCAACGAAAAUUCAUUGGAUCCUCCACACCCCUCAGAGGGCACCAAGACUGGACUGGAGGCGAGCAGAAUAUCCUUGGCGUUGAGGGGUUGUGCAGGCGUGUAUCAAGCA